UUUCCCCACACUACAAUUGAAAAUGCAGGUCACUGGGAAAAUAAACUCAUUUAGAAUUGGAUUCU